GCCCUUUAUUCCAUAUCGAAGUAAAACCAUUAGCACAACAGGCUACAUAAACACUGCAAUUGUUAGCCAAUCAAGGAACGACGUAACAAAUGGUGACGUAUGACGUAAAUAAAGAGCGCGCCGCUUGUUCUGUUGGUUAAACGUCCCUUAUUAUUGUGGUCUUCAAUCAUGUCAAAGUGAAUAUGUACGACAGUUUCUGUCGAUGUACGACAGUUUGGGCCGCUGCUAAUACAUCGGUUAGGAUAUGUGGACACUACGAGUCAAUGGCGGAAAUUUGUCUCGGUUACUCAUUCUUCCGUGACACGACACGACAGUCUGACAAUAAAGAACCGAAGACCGAAACCUGUGCUGAACUCGAUAAAAAAAAAACCAACCGCCGCGGCAAACCGGCAUGGUGCCGUACUGUCUGUUGAUCUGUUCACGGAUCCGACUGCCCAGUCUCUGGUACCAUUCCUGAGCUUGCUGGUAAACGCUGUCAUGGAGACCCUGCAAAAGCUCCAACUCAGUACCAUCAGCCUGAGAACAAGAACGACAACGAGAGAGCACUUUGAAUCUGCUGCCCCCUACUGUGUCCACAUAAGAACGCCCGUCGGGCAGCAGCUCCAGACUGAGGAUCUCCAGAAUACAGCCGUAGUCUGCAAACCUGAGGUCUUUGGAGCUUCUUUAAGAGCAGCCUCCAGCUUCAAAAUAAAAGACGGUUCCAGUUACAGUCCUAAUUUAAGAGCAGCCGUAGGACCACAGCUGAUGUCACCUGACAGACCCUCUCUGCAGAAUCACCUCUGUUCACCGUCAGGCUGAGUUUGACUUGAUCUA